GGGGGAGUAGCUCAGCGGUAGAGCAGCGGUCUUAUAACCCGUAGCGCCAGGUCGUGGGUUCGAAUCCCACCUUCCCUACCA
rnacentral:tRNA from 1 species